rnacentral:sRNA from 1 species
CCUCUGUAACCUGCUGCGGACAGAUGAAGUGGCAAUGCGCGUCGACGGCGCCGGCGGUGAGUAUUAAGCCUUCGCCCGCUAGGACUUCUGUGCUUGCGCCGACGACGAGGUUGGGGUGUACGCCUUCCAUGACGUCCGGGUUGCCCGCCUUACCGAUGCCAACGAUAGUCCCACCGCGCACGCCAACGUCGGCUUUAUAGAUCCCAGAAUGGUCGACAACGAGCGCGUUGGUGAUGAGCAGGUCGAGUGUGUCGGUGCUGCUGCGUCCCGUGGCCUGGCCCAUUCCCUCGCGAAUG